AGGCCUGUAGCUCAAUUGGCAGAGCACCUGAUUCCAAAUCAGGCGGUUGGGGGUUCAAGUCCCUCCAGGCCUGCCA
rnacentral:tRNA from 1 species